GAGGUCUGGAUUUUGAAGAUGGAGAUGUCUACAUUUCUUCUCAUGAGCAAAGAUUCCGCAUGUUUUCCUCUGUUGAAUAUGAGGGCCAACUCUACAUGACCCCGCAAAAUUUCAUUGAGUCUGUCACAAUGGAUGAGCCCAAAUACAGGAGACAGUGGAAGUCACUUUCAAAGCAGGAGUUGGAGCAGAUACUUGCAGCAACACCACCUGUUUGGAGAGGGACAUCAAAACUGUUUCGAAACUUGCGUGAUGGAGGUAAGGGAAUUAGAUUGCUAAGAGAAAUUGGUUUGGUGAUAAAUAUAGCUUACACAUGUAAACUGAAAACGGUUGUGUUUAUGUUUUUGCAAACAUUUUGUUUACAUAACAGUGCAUUAAUAUCAUAAUUGGCAUUACAGCCAACAAACCUGCUAUAGAGGGAUAUAUUGUGUCGAUUUGAGGGGGAAUGAUAUAACUGUUAAGGUUUAGACAGCUAUGGUAUAGGGAUUCCAGUAAGUUUAUUAGGUGUUUUUUAUUUUUGUUUUGUUUGUUCUUUUGAUUGCAUUGCUCUACCAACAGUCAGUUCCAGACUACUUGCAGAACAUGUACACAACACUAUCUAAUUUGUCAGACAUCUCUCUUCAAUUUUUGCUGUUGCCUUUUUUAAUGUAAUGCUAAAUAGUAAGAAGAAUAAGUUACAUUAUAAGUGGCAGUAUCUCAUUUAUACCAAUUAGGGAUGCAGUGGUUAUCAUUAUCCCAAACCAAACCGAAACCAACACUUGCAUAAAAUUCAAAACCAAACGAUACCAGUAAAAGAUAAAACCGAACCAAAACCUUGUUUUAUUUAUUUGUUUUUGUACAAUGAAAAAGCUUUGUGUGUCUCAGGACUAAGCUGGUGGCAAUGCUGGAUGCUCAUCACACACUUUGCUGCAUGCAGACAGUUCAUAAUAACGUCCCUUAAUAAUUUAAGAUGGUAACAUAAGUCAGAAGUUAUGACAAGACUUACCGUUUUGUCUUCAGCAGGAAUAACUGCGGCUUCAUUCUUAGUCUGGGUGUUCAGAUGCCUAGGGCUGUUUUCUUUUUAGGUUUGUUGAUGAAAUGUGCUGGUGCUAAUACUGGCUGGCAAUCGCAGAAACGGUACCCUAGCUUAAACUUCUUGUUCAAAAAAUGCAUCCUAAGAAGUAAAAAGCUGAUUGCAACAGCCAAGUUCAAAAGUAUUGAAAGAAAAUAAAAUAUUAGCAUUUUGUGUCCUGAGUUCUAGCUCUAGUUUUUUGCUGGCAUAAAUCUAGAUGACACUUUAAAUGUAAUUAAUGGAAGUGUUUCCUCAUCAAUAUCCCUUAAUACAGUAUUGUAUUAUUUCUACAUUGUGCCUAAUUGUAUAAUGCAUUGGUAGGAAUGAUGCAAUAACAUUGUAUUUGCCUUAUUUAUCAUAGCUUUAAAAAAAAAAAAAAAAAAAAAAAACGCAACAUGUGUAUAAUAAUGGUAUUGCUUGAUCCCUUGCAGUUUGGUUUCUCGGUUUUAAACUAUUCAUCUGAAAGAUGAAGUUGUCAUUGGAUCUUUGAAGAGUUAAGUCCUGCAUUCUGUAUGUCAGGUUUUAGAUGUUUUCAUUCUCUUUUUUUAUUUGACUUGAAUCUAAUACCUGUUCUGGAACUGGAACUGAAACUGAGGGGCUGUGCUGGGCUGAAGCUUUUUAAUCCUGGCGUUAAGUUUCGAAGCUCCACACAAAAGUAUUAGAGUGAUCUUUAAACAAAGCUCAUCUUUGAAAAUGUACAAAGCUGUUUGAACUCUGCAGUGUUGAGACAAGUUUCAUAUACCAGCCACUGAUCACUGUGGACAGUAUUAUCUCUAAAAAGGGCAUUGAAUUACAGUUCAGACAUUGAAGCUUUCUAUAAAGUGAUCUUGUGGAAUUUUUUGUAUUGUCUAACCACAUUCUCUUGAGCUUUGGCUUUGUUAAGGUAAAUUUAUUUAAAUCACAAGAAAGACACUGUGUGGCAUAAGUGCUAUUCAGAAGGAAUGUUAAGUAUUUAUUUAAAAUCAACUUCUCUGCACUGUUUGAAAAGUGUAUACAUGAGUAACUGAUUUUAAUGGCAUCUCCGUAUACAUUGGAAGAAUGUCACACUUGAUAAUGU